rnacentral:rRNA from 1 species
AGAGUUUGAUCAUGGCUCAGGACGAACGCUGGCGGCGUGCCUAACACAUGCAAGUCGAACGAGGCCUUCGGGUUUAGUGGCGCACGGGUGCGUAACGCGUGGGAAUCUGCCCUUGGGUUCGGAAUAACAGUUAGAAAUGACUGCUAAUACCGAAUGAUGUCUUCGGACCAAAGAUUUAUCGCCCAGGGAUGAGCCCGCGUAGGAUUAGCUAGUUGGUGGGGUAAAGGCCUACCAAGGCGACGAUCCUUAGCUGGUCUGAGAGGAUGAUCAGCCACACUGGGACUGAGACACGGCCCAGACUCCUACGGGAGGCAGCAGUGGGGAAUAUUGGACAAUGGGCGAAAGCCUGAUCCAGCAAUGCCGCGUGAGUGAUGAAGGCCUUAGGGUUGUAAAGCUCUUUUACCCGGGAUGAUAAUGACAGUACCGGGAGAAUAAGCCCCGGCUAACUCCGUGCCAGCAGCCGCGGUAAUACGGAGGGGGCUAGCGUUGUUCGGAAUUACUGGGCGUAAAGCGUACGUAGGCGGCUUUGUAAGUUAGAGGUGAAAGCCCGGGGCUCAACUCCGGAACUGCCUUUAAGACUGCAUCGCUAGAACGUCGGAGAGGUGAGUGGAAUUCCGAGUGUAGAGGUGAAAUUCGUAGAUAUUCGGAAGAACACCAGUGGCGAAGGCGACUCACUGGACGACUGUUGACGCUGAGGUACGAAAGCGUGGGGAGCAAACAGGAUUAGAUACCCCCGUAGUCC